UUUAACUUGGUGUUUUACCAUGAGCAAGGUUGGCAAUGCACCGUAUGAUACACUCUUUCUAAUGUGAAUUUUUGUGGGUCCUGCAAAAAAAAAAUUGGGACUUUCUAUGUGUGGGUUUGGUUGUGGGGUGACCAAAUUGAUUUUUGUUAAAACUAGCUUGAAUGACAAGUGAUUUAUGAUAUCACCCAAAUAUGACAAGCAAAUUUUUGCUUUUUGAAUCAUUUUUGUUUCACGAAAGUGAAUACCAACUAGUAAUAUAUUCGGGGCGCAUAAAUUUUCUAGUAAUAGAGAAUAUUUGGAAAAAACAUGUCAAAUAGUUUAUAGCUAGAAUGUUAGGUACUUGGUUUAGUUUAUAGCUAGAAUGUUAGGUACUUGGUUUGGGCCUAAGCCGAACAAAUGUGUUAUAUUUGUUGAUGUGGCUAGUUGGUUAGAGGGGAGUGAUUGUUAUAUAAAAGAUAGGGAUAGCAAGAGAGAAGGAUUGAGAAUUAUUCAGUUAGGAACCAUAUUGGUUUGGGCAGAGAGAGAAUUGUCUCUUCUACGAGGAGUUUAGCUAUGGGGUAGUUUGGAACUCUUUUCCUUCUACAAUUUUAUUUUCUUCGUCAAUCAAAUACAUUUACAUUUACCAUUGUUUUUCCUCCUGGUUACUUAAUUUCUGAUUUUGAAUUUCGGAUUCCCAUCAUUGGUCUGAACUACCGGAUAACUUCUAGAUAAUUGCUGGAAACUUCUGGAGUCUGCCAGAUAACUUCUAGAUAAUUGUCAGAAGUCGCCGAAAACUACCGGAUAGCUACACGGAGAGCCAGCGAUGGAUGACCUAUGGACUAUGAAGAGGGAAUUACCAGAUUUUAUGGGGACAAAUCCUGAUGGGUGGAUCUCCAUGGCUGAAAAGUUCUUUGAGAAGAACAAAAUUCAUUAUGAGGAUAAGUUGCAAUCCGCGUUCAUGAGCAUGGAAGAUGAAGGAGCGAUGCUAUGAUUUUAUUAUUGGGGUGAAGGUGACAGAAACAUACAAUGAGCCAAAGUUAGAGGAGUUGAACUUCAGUGUUGACAGAAACAUACAAUGGGCCAAAGUUAGAGGAGAUGAACUUCAGUGUUGAACGAGGAGCAAAAUGUUAUACAAAAGUAGAAUUUGACUCCAAAGAGAUUGUUGAUCCAGUGAUAGAAACGGAUUACCAAAAACGAGGAACAAAAGCAAUGUUUAACGGAAGAAUGAAUGAGAUGCAAAGAAGAAAGGAGCAGGUGUUUGUUUUUCAGCCACCUCUGUCGCCGGAGCCACCAGACGCUGACCUUUAUGUGGUGGCAAAUGAGAUUCAAAUAAUCCAAGCGGUUGUCGUCAAACUCCGACCCCCACCGGAACCGCCAAACGUGGAUUCACAUACACAGAUCUCUUCAAGUUUUGAUCUGCAAGGAAGGAAUGAGAAUGCACUUAUUCUCAAACCACCGCCUGAGCCAACAGACGCCACUCUCUUUGUGGUGGUCCUGGAAAUCAAGUACAUCGACUAUGUGACAAAUAGAGAGAAUCGAAUUGCUCAGAUUCCGGUUGCUCCCUCACCACCUAUAAAACCGCCGGGCACGGGUGUAUGUGUUGUGGUAAUAGAUCGGAACUCGCAUGUGUCCACAUCAGAAAGCAAGUUCUGGGAGGUCCGACCAUGAUCCCACCACCACCAGAACCACCAUACAUACACAGGUUCAGGAGGUGUGAAUCCUCCACAGUCUCAGACAACCAACUUCUUUGCGGCAAGGAAGAAUUCCGUACCAGUUGAGCACGUGCAUGCCGAUCAGGUAAGUCUCGUGGUUGUUGUUUCUGUUUGGAACCUUCUGGAAGAUGAAGGGGCAGAAUGGAGCAACCAACUAUUACCCACUUUCCAAAUUUCUAGACAAUCAAUUAAUGACCCAGCUGUCCCUCACUUAUCACAAAAGGAGUCCUCUCACCCUAUAGAGAUGAUCCUAAAAUGUGAGAUGCAAGUUAAGCCUUAUUAUAUAAUAAGUGCAAUAUGUGGGCUUCAGUUUAAUUGGUUUACCCCUUCCCACAUAUUGUCUACAUCAUAUGAUGAGAGCAUCAAAGUUUGGUCAGAGUUCUACCUCAACUAACGUGGCAGUGGUUUUUUCAUGCAUGUCCCAAGCACUUUUAUUUUCUAAUCCAUUUAUUCCAUACCCUUGGUUCCAUGGCCCAACUAAAUACUUCCUUCAAAAUGGAACAUUUAUGUACCACAAUAAAAACACCAAAAGGAACAUUUAUGUACCACAUUUAAAACACCAAACUUCAGCGCUACUAAACAAAAGAAGCCAGAUCAAAACUAUUGGAUGAUGAGUUUGCAUCCAAACAAGUUUGUGUGUGUAGUUGUUAACACAGAAAAAAUGGUUCUGUUAUGCGUUCCUUAUUAGAAACUCAAAGGGUCAAGUUUAUAGACUUAGCAGUACAACUGACUACCUAAAAAAUAGGAAACUACCUCACACACUAACAGCAUAUCUUAAGUGUGUGCAAGACUUAGCAAUACAACUUACUACCUAGAAAAUAGGAAACUACCUCACACACUAACAGCAUAUCCUAAGUGUGAGAGAAAGUAGGAAUUGAAAGCAACAAACAAUUAAUUAAAAACAAACAAUAGAAAUAAUUCUAAAAAUCAAAUUGACUUAUUCAACAAUUCCUCCCUUAAACUGUAUGCUCCUUGCAACAGUUUAUCUCAGACUCAUCAAGCAUUCCUAGAGCACUCAACAUAUGUUGGAAUUCUUCAACUUUAAGUGGCUUUGUCAUGAUGUGUGCUAACUGAUCUCUUGUAUUGCAAUAAUUCAGCUCAAUAACACCAUCAUUACAUAAAUUUCUCAAAAAAUGAAAUCGAACAUCAAUAUGUUUACUUCUUCCAUGCAAAACUGGAUUUUUGGAUAAUUUAAUUGUUGAGACAUUAUCACAAAACACCACAGUAGCUCCUUCUUGACAAUGACUUAGAUGUUCCAAAAUUCUUCUCAACUAAACACAUUGACAAACACAUAACGCGGCUGCUAUAAACUCUGCUUCUGUUGUGGAUAAGCUAACAACCGACUGCUUCUUCGACACCCAAGAAAUAACACCUCCUCCCAGCAAGAAAGCAUAGCCCGAAGUGCUCUUCCUGUCAUCAAGGUCUCCUGCAUAAUCACUGUCGGUAUAAGCAAUUAAUUCUUCAUUUCCUCCAGCCUUAUAGAAAAUUCCCAGAUUUUCUUCUUGAUUGGAUCAUAAAGUUUGUAGGCCUUAGACUCCUCACUUACACCAAACAACACACAUUUGAUACUUUUAUCAUCAAGUUUGCUCCUUUUCUGAUCAGGUACAUGAACGUAUCCAAUGCUGCCAAAGAUUCUAAAAUAUGAAACAGACGGCUUAAUUCCGCUCCAUGCUUCCUCUGGUGUGACGUUCUUGACAGCAAGAGUCGGGCUUCUGUUUAAAAUAUGAAUCACCCAUUUUACAGCUUCUGGCCAAAAAGAUCUUGGAACUCCCUUUUCCACCAAAACACUGCGAACCAUAUUUAUAAUCGUUUGAUUUUUUCUCUCAGCCACACCAUUUUGUUGUGGCGUGUAUGAAGCAGUGAGUUGCCUUUCAAUACCAUGUUUACUGCAAAAUUCAGCAAACUCUUUAGAAAGAUACUCUCCCCCUCUAUCGGUACGUAAUAUUUGAAUGGGAGCGCCAACUUGUUUUUCAACUAAUGCUUUAAACUCUUUAAAUGCACCAAAAGUUUCACUUUUCUCCGUAAGAAAAUAUACCCAUACUUUCCUACUUAAAUCAUCAAUGAAAGUGAGUAUGUACCUUUUAUUUCCAUUGGAUGUAGGAUUGAUAGGACCACAAAUAUCUGAGUGAAUUAACUGCAACAACUGAGAUGCCCGCCAAUUACUUUGUCGUGGAAAAGGGUCUCGUUGAUGAUUCCCUUUGAGGCAAUGUUCACAAAGUUGAGAUGUUGGUUUAAAGGAGGGCAACCCUUUCACCAUGUCAUGCUCCAUUAAAGUUUUCAGUCCACUGUAGCUCAAGUGACCAUAACGAGAGUGCCAUACUUGAGCUGGUGGCACAGAACUAACCUGAAAGCAGGAUUGGGAGACUCCGGAUUUUACAUGAAUAGCAAACAUACGAUUAGUAGUCAUGUAGGUUUCAAAAAUAAGGCCAUUUUCUUUAAACACUCUACAUUUGUUUUGCUUCAUUUCAACUGUUAACCCUCUUUCCAGAAGUUGCCCCACACUAAAUAAAUUAUUUUUCAGCUCAGGCACAUAAAAUACAUCAUUUAGAAAAUGCACAACUCCGUUUAUCAAAAGUUUAACCAUACCUUUUCCACAGACCUUUAGAGCAUAAUUAUUCCCUAAUUUCACUUCAUCUGAAAAACUUUCAUCAAUGAAGGAGAACCAAUCCUUUCUUCCUGUCAUGUGGUUGCUGCAGCCUGAAUCGAUGAACCACAUGUCUUGUGUGUUUGAUUUUCCCUCUGAUGAAAGUUGUGCCAUGAGUAACACUGCUUCCUCAUUGGUCUCAACAUAAUUUGCAAUGCUGUCCUGUGGUUUCUUUGGGCAUUCAUAUUGAAAAUGUCCAAACUCAUGACAGUAAUAACAUUCCACUGCUGCCUUGUCUACUCGUUGUCUGCCUCCUCUGCCUCUUCCUCGAGCAAAUCCACUCCGAAAGUCACCUCUUCCACGGCCACGGUAUUUGUCUCAUCUCGAGUUACUUUCAACACUUGCUCUUCAUGUGAAUUGUGCCCAUUCAUUCGUUGUUCGUGUACCAACAAACUACUUUGGAGUUCAUCUACAGUCAUGGAAUCCAAAACAUGAGAUUCUUCGAUAGCACACACUACAUAAUCAUACCUGGAGGUCAUUGAGCGAAGAAUCUUUUCGACAACAGUAAGAUCCGACAUUUGUUCACCGUACAUUCGCAUCUUAUUUGCAAUAGUGAGAGUUCGAGCAAAAUAGUCAUUAACUGAUUCUCCAUUCUUCAUCUGCAAAAUCUCCCACUCACGUCGUAGGGCUUGAAGCUGUGCUCGCUUCCCUCUAGCAGUGCCUUGGUAUUUCUGUUUUAAGGAAUCCUAGAUCUCUUUUGAUGUCUCCUUCUUUAAAAUUGUUUCAAGCACAGAUCGAUCGAUUGCUUGAAAGAGGUAAUUCUUUACCUUCAAAUCUUUUAGCUUAAGCUCGUUCACCGUUUUUUUCUCGUUCUCCGUUAAUACAGUACCAUCAGCAUGUUGAGGAAUCCCUGGAUCUAUAAGAUUCCAAUACUCCUUUGACCUUAAAAAAUUCUCCAUGAGCAUUACCCAAUGAUCAUAAUGCUCACUCAAUUUUGGAAUUGCAGGUUGCACGAAGUUGCCAUCCGUGGUUGUAGCCAUGAUUGAAGUCUGCUGCUUCUCUUUACUUGCUAUACACCUAGCUCUGAUGUCAGAUGUUAACACAGAAAAAAUGGUUCUGUUCUGCGUUCCUUAUUAGAAACUCAAAGGGCCAAGUUUAUAGACUUAGCAGUACAACUGACUACCUAAAAAAUAGGAAACUAUCUCACACACUAACAACAUAUCUUAAGUGUGUGCAAGACUUAGCAAUACAACUUACUACCUAGAAAAUAGGAAACUACCUCACACACUAACAACAUAUCCUAAGUGUGAGAGAAAAUAGGAAUUGAAAGCAACAAACAAUUAAUUAAAAACAAACAAUAGAAAUAAUUCUAAAAACCAAAUUGACUUAUUCAACAA